rnacentral:rRNA from 1 species
GAGUUUGAUCAUGGCUCAGGAUGAACGCCGACAGAAUGCUUAACACAUGCAAGUCGACUCGAGUCUUCGGACUUGGGUGGCGCACGGGUGAGUAACGCGUAAAGAACUUGCCUCUUAGACCGGGACAACAUCUGGAAACGGAUGCUAAUACCGGAUAUUAUGGUUUUUUCGCAUGGAGGAAUCAUGAAAGCUAGAUGCGCUAAGAGAGAGCUUUGCGUCCCAUUAGCUAGUUGGUGAGGUAACGGCCCACCAAGGCAAUGAUGGGUAGCCGGCCUGAGAGGGUGAACGGCCACAAGGGGACUGAGACACGGCCCUUACUCCUACGGGAGGCAGCAGUGGGGAAUAUUGGACAAUGGACCGCAAGUCUGAUCCAGCAAUUCUGUGUGCACGAUGACGUUUUUCGGAAUGUAAAGUGCUUUCAGUCGGGAAGAA